GGGGAUUUGGCUCAGUGGUAGAGUGCUUGCCUAGCAAGCACAAGGCCCUGGGUUCGGUCCCCAGCUCUG
rfam:Rattus norvegicus chromosome 20, whole genome shotgun sequence.